CUCUCUGUAGCUCAGUUGGUUAGAGCGCUGCACCGGAAUCGCAGGUUCAAUUCCUGCCAGAGGGC
rnacentral:tRNA from 1 species